rnacentral:rRNA from 1 species
AGGUUAAGCGACUAAGCGUACACGGUGGAUGCCCUGGCAGUCAGAGGCGAUGAAGGACGUGCUAAUCUGCGAUAAGCGCCGGUAAGGUGAUAUGAACCGUUAUAACCGGCGAUUUCCGAAUGGGGAAACCCAGUGUGACUCGUCACACUAUCAUUAACUGAAUCCAUAGGUUAAUGAGGCGAACCGGGGGAACUGAAACAUCUAAGUACCCCGAGGAAAAGAAAUCAACCGAGAUUCCCCCAGUAGCGGCGAGCGAACGGGGAGGAGCCCAGAGCCUGAAUCAGCAUGUGUGUUAGUGGAAGCGUCUGGAAAGGCGCGCGAUACAGGGUGACAGCCCCGUACACAAAAGCGCAUGUGCUGUGAGCUCGAUGAGUAGGGCGGGACACGUGGUAUCCUGUCUGAAUAUGGGGGGACCAUCCUCCAAGGCUAAAUACUCCUGACUGACCGAUAGUGAACCAGUACCGUGAGGGAAAGGCGAAAAGAACCCCGGCGAGGGGAGUGAAAAAGAACCUGAAACCGUGUACGUACAAGCAGUGGGAGCACAGGUUUACCUGUGUGACUGCGUACCUUUUGUAUAAUGGGUCAGCGACUUAUAUUCUGUAGCAAGGUUAACCGUAUAGGGGAGCCGGAGGGAAACCGAGUCUUAAUUGGGCGUUAAGUUGCAGGGUAUAGACCCGAAACCCGGUGAUCUAGCCAUGGGCAGGUUGAAGGUUGGGUAACACUAACUGGAGGACCGAACCGACUAAUGUUGAAAAAUUAGCGGAUGACCUGUGGCUGGGGGUGAAAGGCCAAUCAAACCGGGAGAUAGCUGGUUCUCCCCGAAAGCUAUUUAGGUAGCGCCUCGUGAAUUCAUCUCCGGGGGUAGAGCACUGUUUCGGCUAGGGGGCCAUCCCGGCUUACCAACCCGAUGCAAACUGCGAAUACCGGAGAAUGUUAUCACGGGAGACACACGGCGGGUGCUAACGUCCGUCGUGAAGAGGGAAACAACCCAGACCGCCAGCUAAGGUCCCAAAGUCAUGGUUAAGUGGGAAACGAUGUGGGAAGGCCCAGACAGCCAGGAUGUUGGCUUAGAAGCAGCCAUCAUUUAAAGAAAGCGUAAUAGCUCACUGGUCGAGUCGGCCUGCGCGGAAGAUGUAACGGGGCUAAACCAUGCACCGAAGCUGCGGCAGCGAACGUAUCACCCAAGACAACUUUACGGAGUUGACGAUUGACGGAGCGAAGCGACGUCAAAGCGUUCAUUAAAGUCGAGUUGGCUUAGGGAUACGUUCGUUGGGUAGGGGAGCGUUCUGUAAGCCUGUGAAGGUGUGUCGUGAGGCAUGCUGGAGGUAUCAGAAGUGCGAAUGCUGACAUAAGUAACGAUAAAGCGGGUGAAAAGCCCGCUCGCCGGAAGACCAAGGGUUCCUGUCCAACGUUAAUCGGGGCAGGGUGAGUCGACCCCUAAGGCGAGGCCGAAAGGCGUAGUCGAUGGGAAACGGGUUAAUAUUCCCGUACUUGGUGUUACUGCGAAGGGGGGACGGAGAAGGCUAUGUUGGCCGGGCGACGGUUGUCCCGGUUUAAGCGUGUAGGCUGGUUUUCCAGGCAAAUCCGGAAAAUCAAGGCUGAGGCGUGACGACGAGGCACUACGGUGCUGAAGCAACAAAUGCCCUGCUUCCAGGAAAAGCCUCUAAGCAUCAGGUAACAUCAAAUCGUACCCCAAACCGACACAGGUGGUCAGGUAGAGAAUACCAAGGCGCUUGAGAGAACUCGGGUGAAGGAACUAGGCAAAAUGGUGCCGUAACUUCGGGAGAAGGCACGCUGACAUGUAGGUGAAGUGAUUUACUCAUGGAGCUGAAGUCAGUCGAAGAUACCAGCUGGCUGCAACUGUUUAUUAAAAACACAGCACUGUGCAAACACGAAAGUGGACGUAUACGGUGUGACGCCUGCCCGGUGCCGGAAGGUUAAUUGAUGGGGUCAGCGCAAGCGAAGCUCCUGAUCGAAGCCCCGGUAAACGGCGGCCGUAACUAUAACGGUCCUAAGGUAGCGAAAUUCCUUGUCGGGUAAGUUCCGACCUGCACGAAUGGCGUAAUGAUGGCCAGGCUGUCUCCACCCGAGACUCAGUGAAAUUGAACUCGCUGUGAAGAUGCAGUGUACCCGCGGCAAGACGGAAAGACCCCGUGAACCUUUACUAUAGCUUGACACUGAACAUUGAGCCUUGAUGUGUAGGAUAGGUGGGAGGCUUUGAAGCGUGGACGCCAGUCUGCGUGGAGCCGACCUUGAAAUACCACCCUUUAAUGUUUGAUGUUCUAACGUGGACCCGUAAUCCGGGUUGCGGACAGUGUCUGGUGGGUAGUUUGACUGGGGCGGUCUCCUCCUAAAGAGUAACGGAGGAGCACGAAGGUUGGCUAAUCCUGGUCGGACAUCAGGAGGUUAGUGCAAUGGCAUAAGCCAGCUUGACUGCGAGCGUGACGGCGCGAGCAGGUGCGAAAGCAGGUCAUAGUGAUCCGGUGGUUCUGAAUGGAAGGGCCAUCGCUCAACGGAUAAAAGGUACUCCGGGGAUAACAGGCUGAUACCGCCCAAGAGUUCAUAUCGACGGCGGUGUUUGGCACCUCGAUGUCGGCUCAUCACAUCCUGGGGCUGAAGUAGGUCCCAAGGGUAUGGCUGUUCGCCAUUUAAAGUGGUACGCGAGCUGGGUUUAGAACGUCGUGAGACAGUUCGGUCCCUAUCUGCCGUGGGCGCUGGAGAACUGAGGGGGGCUGCUCCUAGUACGAGAGGACCGGAGUGGACGCAUCACUGGUGUUCGGGUUGUCAUGCCAAUGGCACUGCCCGGUAGCUAAAUGCGGAAGAGAUAAGUGCUGAAAGCAUCUAAGCACGAAACUUGCCCCGAGAUGAGUUCUCCCUGAGACUUUAGGUCUCCUGAAGGAACGUUGAAGACGACGACGUUGAUAGGCCGGGUGUGUAAGCGCAGCGAUGCGUUGAGCUAACCGGUACUAAUGAACCGUGAGGCUUAACCUUACAACGCCGA